GUAAGGAAUUUUCCGCAAUGGGCGAAAGCCUGACGGAGCAAUGCCGCGUGAAGGAUGAAGGCCUAUGGGUUGUAAACUUCUUUUCUCAGAAAAGAAUUAUGACGGUAUCUGAGGAAUAAGCAUCGGCUAACUCUGUGCCAGCAGCCGCGGUAAGACAGAGGAUGCAAGCGUUAUCCGGAAUGAUUGGGCGUAAAGCGUCUGUAGGUUGUUUAAAAAGUAUUCUGUCAAAGAUUAGGGCUUAACCCUAGAUAGGCAGAAUAAACUUUUAAGCUAGAGUUUGGUAGAGGCAGAGGGAAUUCCCGGUGGAGCGGUGAAAUGCGUAGAUAUCGGGAGGAACACCAAAGGCGAAGGCACUCUGCUGGGCCAAUACUAACACUGAGAGACGAAAGCGAGGGGAGCAAAUGGGAUUAGAUACCCUUGUAGUCC
rnacentral:rRNA from 1 species